AAUGAACGCUGGCGGCGUGCCUAACACAUGCAAGUCGGAUGUUCCGCCAGGUGCAUGGCAGACGGGUGAGUAACGCGUAGGGAAUCUACCUUUUUGUGGGGAAUAACGCUCCGAAAGGAGUGGUAAUACCGCAUGAGACCGUGAGCUGGGAUGUUCACGGUGAAACCUGGGGACCGCAAGGCCUGGGGCAAAAAGAGGAUCCUGCGUCUGAUUAGCUAGUUGGCGGGGUAAUGGCCCACCAAGGCGACGAUCAGUAGCCGGCCUGAGAGGGUGAUCGGCCACACUGGAACUGAGACACGGUCCAGACUCCUACGGGAGGCAGCAGUGGGGAAUUUUGCGCAAUGGACGAAAGUCUGACGCAGCAACGCCGCGUGGGUGAUGAAGGUCUUCGGACUGUAAAACCCUGUCGUCAGGGACGAAGGUGGCAGUGUUAAUAGCGCUGUUACUUGACGGUACCUGGAGAGGAAGCCCCGGCUAACUCUGUG
rnacentral:rRNA from 1 species